rnacentral:tRNA from 1 species
UGGAAUGUAGCUAAGAAAAAGCACCUCCCUUACACCGAGAAGACGCCCGUGAGAACCAGGCCAUUCCAA